UCCCUCAUUCCCUCGAACUCGAUCUUCUACAUUUGUUGUGUAAAAAGGACAUAGCAAGUUUUUUGUAUCAAUGAUCACUUUAGGAUAUUCCAGUGCAUUUACAUUCAAUAUAUACUGUACCUUGAGUGAGGUAGAAAUGCAUAUUGUUGCAAAUAUAAAUACUGUUAAUUUGUUAUUUUUUGUAAUUAAUCAUUUACUGAAUUUCUUUGUAGAAUAUGUUACUAUUAUUUGGGUUUUUGUUCUCUGCAUAACUGUCUCUUUCACCUAUAUUAAUUCCUCAGCAUUCAAGAUGUUUGUAGGGUCCUCACCUCAGCUACCUCUCACAAGGUGCCCCUGAAAAAGAAAUUCAAGACGUUUGGGUCCUCAGCUCAACUGACCAAGACCUUUGCUCAUUGAAGGCAUGAAGUAAUUUGUGAUGCCCCCACGAUUGCAGUUUUUAAAUCCAGAUGGCUUGCUCUUUUUAACAUGUGCGAGAGCUGGAUGGUCUUUCAACAACACUGCUCCGGGUCUUCAGCAAGAAAGGUGCUUCUCAUGCAAGGAAGAUACAGAGGAUCCUGGUGCCCAUGACUCAGACUGACAACAUUGAUGUGAAGAGGGAGUGCAUGCUGAGGAGCUGACGGUCUACCUGAAUGAAGAGCCAGACAAAGUGGAUGUUGAUCUGGACGGUCCAGCUGAAACGUAUUGUCU